rnacentral:lncRNA from 1 species
UGGCAGACAGAAGAUUAAACAGAGUUAACAUAUGACUCAGCAAUUUUAAUCCUAGGUCUACACCCAAGAGAAAUAUAUAUCCGCACAAAAAUACAUACACAAAUGAUAGAAGCUUUAUUCAUAUUAGCUCCAAAGUGGAAAGAACUCCAAGUCCCAUCAACUGAUGAGUAAGCAAAACAUCUAAUAUCCAUACAAUGGAAUCUUAUUCAGCCAUAAAAAGAAAUGAAGCACUGAUACAUGGAUGAACCUUGAAAACAUGAUGCUAAGUGAAAGAAGCCUGACACAAAAGACUACACAUGAUGUGAUUCCAUUUAUAUGAAAUGUCCAGAAUAGACACAUCCAUAAAGUAGAUUAGUAAUUGCUCAGGGCUAGGGGUUGGAAGAGAUGGGGAGUGACUGGUAAUGGGUAUGGAGUUUCCUCCUGGGGUGAUGAAAUGUUCUAAGAUUGUUUGUGGUCUAGGAUUGCAUAACCAUGUGACUAAACUAAAACCAACUGACUUGUACAACUGAAAUAGAUGAAGAGCAUGGAACAUGAAUUCUAUCUCAAUAAAGGUGUUACCAAAAAAGGGGAAUGAGAUAAAGUGGAAUGGGAAAUAUUACAGAAUGCUGGUGGGGAUGGUUCAGAAGAGGGAGAGGUUAAUGCUGUAGAAAAAAAAAAAAAAAAAAAAGAGGAUAAUUACGAAGCAAGUCCUUAAGUAGCAAGAACAGAGCAAGAGGUAGGGAGAGGCAGUGCCCACAUGGAGGUCGACCUGUAUAGCAGGAGGUGAAGCAAAGCAUGGGCACAGGGAGUGACACACCUUUGAUGCUGGGGCUGGAGGAUUACAGAAAACAGGAGUGAAUGGUCCUCUAAGAGAGAAGGGGAGUAAUGAGGGAAAUUUAGUGGUAGGCAAUGCUAGGGUCUUCCAAGAGGUUUGUGGUCACAAAUUUAGCAAAUAUGGUGAGACCAUUUAACAACAAAUAUCCCCUGAAUGGCUGGUCAAGUUUAAGAUGCUGAGGCUGAACAGAGAAACUAGCAACCAGAAUCCAGAAGGUCAGGGGCAGCUUUGAUGGUCUCCCUUAGAGCCUUCUACCAAUCAGAGGAUGCAUGCUUGAGCAAUUUUGCCAAUACAAGGAACCAAGGUGGGGCCAAAGCAGGCCCUUGCCGGCUCCUGCGUGGAGGAGAGAAAACGAAGGUGUGUGGGAUUCAGCGGCAAAGCUUGCCCCAAGGAAAACAGUGGGGAUUGGGUUUUAGAGGCUAGCAGGGUUUUAGAGCUAGUCCCCAGUCAGUUCCCAGAAGACAAGCCAUCGAAUUAACCUAACGAAGCACAGGAUAGCACAGCCUCAGACCAGCACAGCUGAACACAAUCUUCUUGGCAGGCAGAGAAAAGAAAUGUCAAAAUAAGGCACGGAGGAUGGAGGGAGGGAGGCUGCUUGAAUUGGAAGGGGUGGGGAGAAAGAAAAAAAUCCUGGCCCGAGACACUGAUAAAGCACCCUCUUUCCACCCACUGACACACAGCCUGAGGAUGUGUCCCAGAGCCUCAGUGUAAAGGCAUCAAACCACAGAUUAGUACGCACACUGCAUGAUGCUUUAUGAGUUUCUGAGCAUUUGCAGGCAUAGCCUCUCAUUCAGUAUUCGCAGAAGUCCCAAGACAGCAAAACGAGGUCAGCCAGGCGAUAAGCGACGGAGCGUUAAUACAUUCCAGAUCUGAUGGCUCCAAGGCCAGUGCUCCUUCCACAAGCAUUCACUGCCAUCCAGAGAGGCUUUCUCCACUAACUGGAGUACAACCAUCAGAAGGUUCCCUGUGUCCCAGAACCCUGCCAACCUAACAACCCAGCAAACGCCCUGCUUCCUGAGUGUGGCAACAGCCAACCCUGGCAGAAGAUGCCCUGGAGUGCCUGUCAUCAUCUGGAGGAAGAGACCUGACAGCCCCUCCCUUAUACUCAACUCAAGCCCAGAGAAGCACGUCCUUGAUGUGUCUGAAAACUGGCUGCUUCACUUCCACAUGCUUGGCUAACUGAAGUCCUCACAUUGCAACCUGCUGGCGCCAGCCUCUGGCAUAAACCCCUCACUGUUACCCUAGUGACUCAGUCUACCACGCUCAUCAAUUACGAUCCCUCCAGCAGCCUCUGCUUCAGGCGCUCCUGCCUUCCUGCAGGACACUCACUCUGACAUGCUGUCCAGUCUGUGAUCUCAGCUCUGGUACUUCUGAUGCUGCCCAGAGUUAGCAGGCAGGAAAUCAGAAAGUGAGAACUUACGCAUUUCUUCCAUCCUAUGAUCAUCACUCUGGUAACUUUCAAGGAAGUCCCAGAGAAAUAAACCAUCAGUCUCCAUCGCAAGAGGAUGGAUGCUGCCCCCAAAGGAACAGGCUCUAAGGGGAGGAAAGCUGGGUUGUGAAGCAUGGGGAAGGGGGACAGCUGGGAUAUGGGGUCCCAGCUCUGCUCCAAACCUGCCCCUUAAGAGUCCCAGUGUGGUUUCUUGGUGUGUAGGGGUGGUGGAGGGGGAAGUCCAGGAAUUUGCUAUACACAUCUACAGCAGGAAUAAAGCAGUCUAGGAAAACAAUACUAUCUCAUUAGCAAGGCAGGAGUUCCCUGGUGGAGAGUGUUUAAGGAUCCAGUAUUGGUGCAGGUUUGAUCCCUGGCCCAGGAACUUUUGCAUGUUGCGGGUGGGGAAAAAAAAAAAAAAAAAAAAGCAAGUCAAAGCUCAACUUUGAGGAGAGGUGGGUGGAUGGCGCAGGGAACUGAAAAUUGUCUAAAAACACAGAACCACCUGUGUGAGAAAAGCAAGGGCAGUUCCUGUUAGGUUCCUACUGAUCAGUCUCUCCAGAUUACUUCUUAUUUGCAUUUUAUUCAGUCUGGUAGUUUUUCUUUUCUUUCAAAUUUAGGGCCGAACCCAUGAAACAUGGAGGUUCCCAGGCUAGGGAUUAAAUCAGAGCUAUGGCUGCCAGCCUACGCCCCAGCCACAGCAACGUGGGAUCCAAGAUCCAAGCCGCAUCUGCGACCUAUAUACCACAGCUCACUACAACACUGGAUCCCUGACGCACUGAGUGAGGCCAGGGAGUGAACCUGCAUCCUCAUGGAUACUAGUCGGAUUUGUUUCUGCUAUACCACAACAGGAACUCCACUAAUUUUUCUUUAGUUCUCUUUUCUUUUCCUAACUUGUGUUGGAUUGACACACUACCCCCACUCCCAAUAUUUUUCCUUCUGGAUUGGAAAUUCUUUCUUCUAACUAACUAAAGUGGUUAUCUUAAAUUGUUAGCAGAUACAUAUUUUCCUAAUGAGGUCUACAGUUUUCAGCAGCGGUAUUUCCCUUUAACAAGGCAGAAAUGUGAUGUGAUUUAACAAUGAAAUUCCCUUCCUUAUUCUACCUGAUUCUUCCUUGAUAAUGUGGCCAACGAUUUUAGUUUUCCUAUUUUAAAACUAAAACAAACUAGAUUCUGGGUUUCUGUUCAGUGCGUUUUGCCAUCUGUGGCCGACACUGUUGGUUGCCUACUAGCAGCCAUUCCCCCUUUUUUCUUGCCAAAAGAAUCCUGAUUUUGUUCAGGCAGCAAAGAACCCAGUCCCAGGAGAUAAGAUAAGCCUGUUCCAUUUUACCAGGAAUUGGUCUAAGGAUGAACCAGCUCAGGUCAAUGAAGCAUGAGAUGUCUGCUGGGGCUUCCCUGGAAAGAUUCUCCUUCUUAGAAAAGAGGCACAUUAGAAAGCUUCCUUUCUCUUAGCAUUUCCUACCCUUCCUGCUUAGGAUGCUCUAAGGUGAUAUAAUACCUGGAGCUGCAGCAGCCAUCUUACAACCAUGAGGAGAGAGCUCUUAUACCCUUAUGACAGCAGAGAAGAACAAUGGAAUGACCUAGGGUUCCUCAAGUCAGUACUGGACUAAUGCUCCAAACUUGGAACUCCCUCCCUCCAACUUCUCAUUACAAGCUAGUUAAAUAUCUUCUGGAGUUUAAGUCCCUGUGGGUGACGUGAGCAUCCUGAUACACUGUCUACAGUUAAUUUACCAACGCACAUCAAUUUCUGCACUUGGUUUUGCUGCUAGCAAUCUGCUCCUCUCCCCAAGUUUUCUCCUUAUUGAAAUACAAACCUUUAGUAGUUCUUCUAGCAAGGACGUGUAGGUAAUAAAACUGUCUUAGCAGGUACAGAAAUAUCUUUAUUUCACCUCAUUCUUUUUUUUUUCUUUUCCAGCUGCACUCACAGCAUAUGGAAGUUCCAGGGCCAGGGACUGAAUCCGAGCCAGAGCUGUGACCUACACCACAGCUGCAGCAAUGCUAGAUCCUUAACUCACUGUGCAGGGCUGGGGAAUCAAACUUGCAUCCUCACAGAGACUAUGUCAGGUCCUUAACCUGCUGAGCCACAAUGGGAACUCCUACAAUUUUUAAUGUAAAGUUUUCAUGUUUACAUAUUCUUGUUUCUUUUAUAAUUUACCUUUCUUUAACAAAUUUCUUGUUUCGCUAAUAGCCUCAAGGAUCCUUAACCUAUUUCUACUAAAUGUAUUUUCUGACUACUCUGUUAUUUUCAUUUCUUUGGGGAUAAAUUUUCCUCUGAUUUUGUUCUUCUUUCAUAUUAGUUUCCCUCAUAUUUCUGAGUAUAUAAGCUCAUCCCUUCUUCAUCUGGGGAUUUUCUCCUUUGCCUCCCCAGGUCCUCUGGGUCUCCUGGUCUAGAAUCAAAUCUCACAGUAGCAACUUAGCUUAGCUCCAGGCCCUGUCUCCCUAGGUAAGCAUCUUUGUAAUAAGCCCCAGCCCCAGGGAAUGGGUUACAGCAACUGUUUUCAGACUACUUUCCCAGCCCCUGGGUUCCAGCAGUGUAUCAGCUCUAACUCCAGGCUUUGUAUCCAGCACUCCAUAGCUGGAGUUAUGCGUAAAUCUGUUAUCCCAGAUUUCUAGCCACUUCUGCCUGCAUCCAGACUCAGAGACAAGCAGGCCUACUGCAGCUUCUGCCCUGCUCUCCUUCUGGUGUUCCUGUUCCAUUCCUGUGUGUGUGUGUGUGUGUGUGUGUGUGUGUGUGUGUGUGUGUGUGUCUUUUUGGGGCUGCGUCUGCGGCAUACGGAGGUUCCCAGGCUAGAGGUUGAAUUGGAGCUACAGCUGCCGUCCUUUAAAAAAAAAAAAAGCAUAUGAGAAGGAGACACACCCCCUUAUUCAUGGGGCCAAGGUCAGGCCUUUUAACAUAGUCUCUAGAGAUCCCCAAACCAGGCCACCCUCCUAAGCCUCAUCUCUCAUGGUACCCUAUCCUCUAGGGGUUAUGAGCUAAUUUGGACCACAGGCCAAAUCUGGCCCAUAUAUAUUUUUUUAAUUAACGUGUAAUUGAUUUACAAC